UACGUAGGUGGCGAGCGUUGUCCGGAUUUACUGGGCGUAAAGAGCGCGCAGGCGGCUGGUCAAGUCCGAUGUGAAAGCUCCCGGCUUAACUGGGAAAUUGCAUCGGAAACUGAUCGGCUGGAAGGUGGGAGAGGGUAGCGGAAUUCCCGGUGUAGUGGUGAAAUGCGUAGAUAUCGGGAGGAACACCAGUGGCGAAGGCGGCUUUCUGGUCUGCUCUUGACGCUGAGGCGCGAAAGCUAGGGUAGCAAACGGG
rnacentral:rRNA from 1 species